GACGGAGGGUGCUAGCGUUGUUCGGAAUCACUGGGCGUAAAGGGCGCGUAGGCGGCCUGAUAAGUCGGGGGUGAAAGCCUGUGGCUCAACCACAGAAUUGCCUUCGAUACUGUUAGGCUUGAGACCGGAAGAGGUAAGUGGAACUGCGAGUGUAGAGGUGAAAUUCGUAGAUAUUCGCAAGAACACCAGUGGCGAAGGCGGCUUACUGGUCCGGUUCUGGACGCUGAGGCGCGAAAGCGUGGGGAGCGAACAGG
rnacentral:rRNA from 1 species